rfam:Picea glauca, whole genome shotgun sequence.
GGAUACGUGGUGCAAUGGUAGCGCGUCUGACUCCAGAUCAGAGUGUUUCGGGUUCAAUUCCCAAAUUGCCA